GAUGAACGCUAGCGGCAGGCCUAACACAUGCAAGUCGAGGGGCAUCAUGGCGUAGCAAUACGCUGAUGGCGACCGGCGCACGGGUGCGUAACGCGUAUGGAACCUACCCACCGCAGGGGGAUAACCCGCCGAAAGGCGGACUAAUACCCCAUGGUUCCCCGACCCUGCCUGGGGUUGGGGGUAAAGCCUACGGGCGGCGGUGGAUGGCCCUGCGUGCCAUUAGCUGGCUGGUGGGGUAACGGCCCACCAGGGCGACGAUGGCUAGGGGGUCUGAGAGGAUGUACGGCCACACUGGGACUGAGAUACGGCCCAGACUCCUACGGGAGGCAGCAGUUGGGAAUCUUAGGCAAUGGACGAAAGUCUGACCUAGCGACGCCGCGUGAGGGAAGAAGGCCUUCGGGUUGUAAACCUCUGUCAUGGGGGAAGAAGGAAGUGACGGUACCCCAAGAGGAAGCCCCUGCUAACUACGUG
rnacentral:rRNA from 1 species